rnacentral:rRNA from 1 species
UACAGGGGGUGCAACCGUUGCUCGGAAUCAUUGGGCGUAAAGCGCACGUAGGCGGUCUGUUAUGUCGGAUGUGAAAGCCCUUGGCUCAACUGAGGAAGUGCAUCCGAAACUGGCAGGCUAGAGUACUAAAGAGGGUCGCGGAAUUCCCGGUGUAGAGGUGAAAUUCGUAGAUAUCGGGAGGAACACCGGUGGCGAAGGCGGCGACCUGGGUAGAUACUGACGCUGAGGUGCGAAAGCGUGGGGAGCAAACAGG